ACGGAGGGUGCAAGCGUUAUCCGGAAUCAUUGGGUUUAAAGGGUCCGCAGGCGGGCGUAUAAGUCAGUGGUGAAAUCUCUCGGCUUAACCGAGAAACUGCCAUUGAUACUGUACGUCUUGAAUUCGGUCGAAGUGGGCGGAAUAUGACAUGUAGCGGUGAAAUGCUUAGAUAUGUCAUAGAACACCGAUAGCGAAGGCAGCUCACUAGGCCUGGAUUGACGCUCAGGGACGAAAGCGUGGGGAGCGAACAGG
rnacentral:rRNA from 1 species